rnacentral:rRNA from 1 species
CAGCCGCCACGGGAAAACGGAGGGGGCUAGCGUUGUUCGGAAUUACUGGGCGUAAAGCGCACGUAGGCGGCUUGGUAAGUUAGAGGUGAAAGCCUGGAGCUCAACUCCAGAAUUGCCUUUAAGACUGCCGAGCUAGCAGGUGAGAGAGGUAAGUGGAAUUCCGAGUGUAGAGGUGAAAUUCGUAGAUAUUCGGAAGAACACCAGUGGCGAAGGCGGCUUACUGGCUCAUACUGGACGCUGAGGUGCGAAAGCGUGGGGAGCAGACAGGAUUAGAUACCCGUGUAGUCCCUGUCUCUUAUAC